rnacentral:rRNA from 1 species
GACGAACGCUGGCGGCGUGCUUAACACAUGCAAGUCGAACGGAAAGGCCCUGCUUUUGCUGCGUGCUCGAGUGGCGAACGGGUGAGUAACACGUGAGUAUCCCGUCCUUGUCUGUGGGAUAAAUUCACGGAAAUGGGGCUCAUACCGGAUAGAAGCUCUUGCUGCACGUUGGUGGUUGGAAAGUUGCGGCGGUUGUGGAUGGAUUCGCGGCUUAUGCGCUUGUUGGGGGGGUAGUGGCUUACCAAGGCUGCGACGGAUAGCCGGCAUGAGAGGGUGGCCGGCCACAAUGGGACUGAGAGACGGCCCAGACGCCUACGGGAGGCAGCAGUGGGGAGUAUGGCACAGUGGGCGGAAGCCUGAUGCAGAAACGCCGCGUGCGGGAUGACGGCCUUCGGGUGGAAAACCGCUUUCGCAUGUGACGAAGAGUGAGUGACGGUAAUGGGUAAAGAAGCACCGGCUAACUACGUG